GUCUCUGUGGCUCAGUGGUAGAGCAGUGGACCGGGAAAUCCGAAGGUCUGAGGUUCGAUUCCUCGUGGGGACU